UGAGGAAUAUUGCACAAUGGGCGCAAGCCUGAUGCAGCGACGCCGCGUGUGGGAUGAAGGGGCUACGCCUCGUAAACCACUGUAGCCCGGGACGAAAAACGCCUUAGAGGCGUUAGACGGUACCGGGAAAGUAAGGGUCGGCUAACUACGUGCCAGCAGCAGCGGUAAUACGUAGGAGGCUAGCGUUAUCCGGAUUUACUGGGCGUAAAGCGCAUGCAGGUGGUUUUGUAAGUUGGAUGUGAAAGCUCCUGGCUUAACUGGGAGAGGUCGUUCAAAACUACAAAACUUGAGAUUGGUAGAGGAAAAUGGAAUUCCGGGUGUAGUGGUGAAAUGCGUAGAUAUCCGGAGGAACACCAGUGGCGAAAGCGGUUUUCUGGACCAAUUCUGACACUCAGAUGCGAAAGCUAAGGUAGCAAACG
rnacentral:rRNA from 1 species